CGCUGGCGGCGCGUCUUAAGCAUGCAAGUCGAACGGCAAGAGGUAGCAAUACCUCCUAGAGUGGCGGACUGGUGAGUAACACGUGGGUGACAUACCCUUCAGGAUGGGGAUAGCUAUUAGAAAUAGUAGAUAAUACCGAAUACGAGCGACAGGGGUUAGAGAUCUGUGAGGAAAGGAGCUAAGGCUCCGCUGAAGGAAUGGCCUGCGGCCCAUUAGCUAGUUGGUGAGGUAAGAGCCCACCAAGGCGAUGAUGGGUAUCCGGCCUUAGAGGGUGAACGGACACAUUGGGACUGAGAUACGGCCCAGACUCCUACGGGAGGCAGCAGCUAAGAAUAUUCCGCAAUGGACGAAAGUCUGACGGAGCGACGCCGCGUGGAUGAAGAAGGCCGGAAGGUUGUAAAAUCCUUUUGAAACUGGAGAAUAAGCGUUGUAGGGAAUGACAGCGUGGUGACAGUAGGUUUUGAAUAAGCAACGGCUAAUUACGUGCCAGCCGCCGC
rnacentral:rRNA from 1 species